GACGAACGCUGGCGGCGUGCUUAACACAUGCAAGUCGAACGGUAAGGCCCUUCGGGGUACACGAGUGGCGAACGGGUGAGUAACACGUGGGUGAUCUGCCCUGCACUUCGGGAUAAGCCUGGGAAACUGGGUCUAAUACCGGAUAGGACCACUGCCUGCAUGGGUGGUGGUGGAAAGCUUUUGCGGUGUGGGAUGGGCCCGCGGCCUAUCAGCUUGUUGGUGGGGUGAUGGCCUACCAAGGCGACGACGGGUAGCCGGCCUGAGAGGGUAACCGGACACGCUGGGACUGGGAUACGGCCCAGACUCCUACGGGAGGCAGCAGUGGGGAAUAUUGCACAAUGGGCGCAAGCCUGAUGCAGCGACGCCGCGUGAGGGAUGACGGCCUUCGGGUUGUAAACCUCUUUCAGCACCGACGAAGCGCAAGUGACGGUAGGUGCAGAAGAAGGACCGGCCAACUACGUGCCAGCCGCCGCAGUAACAC
rnacentral:rRNA from 1 species